UUCUUUCAUUCAAGCGUUGGCUCUUUAUCCAUUGUCGAAUUUCCAGUAAAAGUUUUUAGAAUCCAGUCCCAAGAAUCCAGUCUUUCACAACAAAAUAUAUAAAACAUCACAAUAAGUCAAUGACUGCACGUAUUUUUCUCUUUACCACAGAAUCGUUUUCCCUGUCCAUCGAGUUAUAAUUUCCAAAACUAACCAGUCGUUAUAACGUAAAUUAAGCGGGUAUUUGUG